rnacentral:rRNA from 1 species
AUUGAGGAAGGAACAUACCCGAUCUCAUCUGAUCUUGAAAGCUAAGCAGGGUCAGGCCUGGUUAGUACUUGGAUGGGAGACUAUAUUAAGGAAGGUAAAGAACCCUCAUUC